rnacentral:rRNA from 1 species
GAGUUUGAUCCUGGCUCAGAUUGAACGCUGGCGGCAGGCCUAACACAUGCAAGUCGAGCGGUAGAGAGAAGCUUGCUUCUCUUGAGAGCGGCGGACGGGUGAGUAAUGCCUAGGAAUCUGCCUGGUAGUGGGGGAUAACGCUCGGAAACGGACGCUAAUACCGCAUACGUCCUACGGGAGAAAGCAGGGGACCUUCAGGCCUUGCGCUAUCAGAUGAGCCUAGGUCGGAUUAGCUAGUUGGUGAGGUAAUGGCUCACCAAGGCGACGAUCCGUAACUGGUCUGAGAGGAUGAUCAGUCACACUGGAACUGAGACACGGUCCAGACUCCUACGGGAGGCAGCAGUGGGGAAUAUUGGACAAUGGGCGAAAGCCUGAUCCAGCCAUGCCGCGUGUGUGAAGAAGGUCUUCGGAUUGUAAAGCACUUUAAGUU